rfam:Picea glauca, whole genome shotgun sequence.
GCAUGCUUACAACAUAACCUUAAUGCAUAAAAUUCCAUUAGAACUUGGCAAUUAAGCACGCUCGGACUAGAGUAGUAUUGGGAUGGGUGACCGCCCAGGAAGUGCUAGUGUUUUACAUGCC